GGAAUGAUGGGAAUUUAAACCUCUUCCAGAGUAUCAAUUGGAGGGCAAGUCUGGUGCCAGCAGCCGCGGUAAUUCCAGCUCCAAUAGCGUAUAUUAAAAUUGUUGCAGUUAAAAAGCUCGUAGUUGAAUUUCUGCUACAUUGCCUAUUCUCCUUUACGAGUUUGGGUCUUUUGUGGCUUAUCUGGGUUCGCUUGCGUUCCCGGUGUUUUACUUUGAGAAAAUUAGAGUGCUCAAAGCAGGCUUUUGCCUUGAAUAGUUUAGCAUGGAAUAAUAAAGUAGGACUUUGGUUCUAUUUUGUUGGUUUUAGGUACCAAAGUAAUGGUUAAUAGGAACAGUUGGGGGCAUUCGUAUUUAACUGUCAGAGGUGAAAUUCUUAGAUUUGUUAAAGACGAACUACUGCGAAAGCAUUUGCCAAGGAUGUUUUCAUUAAUCAAGAACGAAAGUUAGGGGAUCGAAGACGAUCAGAUACCGUCGUAGUCCUAACCAUAAACUAUGCCGACUAGAGAUUGGAGGUCGUCAGUUUUUACGACUCCUUCAGCACCUUGAGAGA
rnacentral:rRNA from 1 species